AAAUUUGAAAUAGUAAGUUGAUGAUUAUCAAUAAUGAUCGCGAUUUAUUUCAUUCAUAUUUUCGCGGGAUUUGAACAGGAAGUAAGAUUGGACAUGCGCAUUAUUUAAACACGCACCUUUCCUGCAUUUCAAAAAGAACAACAAAGGACGAAUUCGAAGAGAAACUUUCCGUUUAUCACGUAUAUUUAUGAAGCUUGUCAAACAGAUCAAUGGUUGAAACGCAUCAAGAGGAGCAAAAUUAAAAGUCAGUUUUGGGAAUUCCAGUCUUUAAAUCAUCAAAGAGUUUAAGUAUACUGCAAGAGUAAACUGAUGUCACUUGGAAAUACAUCUCUGAUAAAGACCACUCCAGCUUAAAGUUUACUUACUGCAGAAAGAUCCCGAGGUGGUGGAAGAAUGAUGACAUGCAAUAAGGACAAAAAGAGACAAAUAUAACAAAUGAAUUUAUAAAAUAAAUCUUGUAUCAAAAGAAA